CCAAGUGGGUAAGGCCAAGAAAAUACAGCCAAAAGGUGAAGGCUAGGAAAGUAUGGCCUGGGGCAAGGACAGAGGAUAAUGCCACUAGAUUAAGGCCGGUAGAGCCAGGACAGGUGACUCAGACCAGAAGGUUGAGACAAAUUCUGAAGGCCAGCAGAGUAAGGUUGAGUAGGCAAAAUCAGCUCAGUAAUUCUGGUUGGUAAAACCAUGAGGUUAAUACCAAUAGGGUCAGUUGUAUAAGUCAGGUGCAUAACGUCACAGGAGUAAUACUGGAUGAGUAAGGCCAGGAGGUUAACGAGGCAGGUGGGUAGAUCUAGGUUAAGACCAAGGUGAUGUAAGACCAAGUCAGGAUGCCAAGGAAUUUAAAAGUCCAGGUGAUUAGCACUAUCCGAUUGGAGUUGUCAACCCACCUUUAAUCAGUAGGCCUCAACCCAGUGGCCUACUGAUUAAAGGUGGAUUGAUAACUCCAAUUGGGUAGUGCUAAGAGGUUAAAGCUAGGCAGUUUAGGCCAGGAAGAUGUCCAUGUGACUAAGAAUGGAAGGAUAAGGCCAGGCGGGAAGGGCAGGUUGGUAAGCUCAGUUGGUGAUCCAGGUUGGUAAAGCCAUGAGUUUAAGGCCAG
rnacentral:lncRNA from 1 species